rnacentral:rRNA from 1 species
CACGUAGGGCGCGAGCGUUGUCCGGAAUUAUUGGGCGUAAAGGGCGCGUAGGCGGUCGUGACAAGUCACUUGUGAAAUCUCCGGGCUUAACCCGGAGCGGUCAAGUGAUACUGUCGGACUAGAGUACAGAAGGGGCAACUGGAAUUCUCGGUGUAGCGGUGAAAUGCGUAGAUAUCGAGAGGAACACCUGCGGCGAAGGCGGGUUGCUGGGCUGAUACUGACGCUGAGGCGCGAAAGCCAGGGGAGCGAACGGG